UCCCGCGCGUCUAUCAACAGGCCUCAUCCACUGUCGCAAAGCGUAUCAUAAAAGCAUGUGGCUUUACGACGUUAGCCCAUUGGUGUGUGACUGGAUUUCUGUCACCCACCAAAUUAGAAAGAUGCGGACAGGUUGUUGUCAGCAUGUCUUUUAAAAAUGAUGCAUGCUGUUUAACGUCAAUGCCUAUUAAAUUAAAUUAGGCUAAUAUGGCUAGUGGGUUGUCUCUGGUCUGUUGCACCGUGAGACAUGUUGCUGCCGUCGCAUUCCUUCACGUUAGCGGUGAAGUCUCUCUGCGUGUGCAGAGUAAUCACAGGCCCGUCCGUUCUGUACUUGAUGUGCCUGUACUAUCUAUCCACCAUACACUGGCUGAUCGAGAUGGGCGGCUGUCUCCAUCAGUUUGUUCUCCGCAUUGGAAUUAGCCAUUCCUCAAAUCGCACGGUCAUGUCGGAGAAUUGUCUAUCAGAUCCGAAGAGAACCGAGACUCGUUGAUUUAAAGCGGAUUCUCGAUCAGCAGAUUUGGAGGUCCACUGCGAGCAGGGUGUAUUAAAAUUCCUUGUUCAUGUGAAGCUUACAGAGUAAAGAGACUACUUGGUAAAAAUGUAUGCAGCAUCAAGCGCAAAAGAACAGAAUGGUGCAUUUUGAAGUAGCGCUAAAAGAAAUGCUAAAGUGAAUAAUCGAGAGGUAGAAUUGAGAACGUGGCAGCACCACCGAAAGACUCAUUUAAUGGGUAGCUAUUUUGGCGCUAUAGAUCUAGAAGAUUCAUCACGACCACAAGCCUCACCACCAUUGAGGACAUCUUCAAGAGGCAGUGCCUUAAGAAGGUACAGGGCUUCACUAUAAAGACCCUCAGCAUCCAGGACAUGCUUUCUUCUCGUUACUACCAUCGGGGAAGAGGUAUAGGAGCCUGAAGACCCUCACUCAACAAUUCAGAAACAGUUUCUUCCACUUCGCCAUCAGAUUUCAGAAUGGUGUGGGAACAUGACCUUUUUUUUUGCACUAUUUAUUUUGUAAUUUAUGGUAGUUUUGUCUUUGCAAUUUAUAGCUGCAGCAAAACAACAAAUUUCACAUCAUAGAAGACAGUGAUAAUAAACUGGAUUUCUGAAGGUCAAUACACAGGGGCAGCAGGAUAUGAGAUUAUGAUAUCAUGGAUUAUGUAUAGCUCUAAUUUUUUGGCUAAUAAUGUAUUAUAUAUGUUAUAUAAUAUAUUAUAAAAAAUAAUGUAUUUUGGCUUCCUUGACCUAAGGAACAAUAUGCAAUUUUCCGUUCCAAUUUAUUUGUAAAAGUGUCAUUAAUAUUUGUAUUCCAUGUGUUGAUUAUCUUUGUGGUAUCAGCAAACUUGAAUGUGGAUAACUUUUAAAAAUUGUUUUAUCUUAAUGUUAUCUUGCCACACAAAGUUGUUCAUAAACAAUAAAAGAUAUUUAGAGCACAAUACAGGUUGCUAUGGGAUGUUACCGGUUAAUAGCUUGUCAAUUAGAGUACAUUUGGCCCUCCUUAUCUGUGAGUUCUGCAUGCGCGAAUUCAACCAACUGUGAAUUGAGAAAACCCAGAAAUGCUCUUCCAGCACUUGUUGUUCAAGCAUGUACAGACAUUUUUUUUGUCAUUAUUCCCUAACAAUGCAGUAUAACAACUAGUUUACAUAGCAUUUGCAUUGUAUUAGGUAUUAUAAGUAAUCUAGAGAUGAUUUAAAGUAUAUGGGAGGAUGUGCAUAGGUUACCGUGGAUCGGGCUUGAAAAAAAAUUGGAAGUUCUCUUACUAUGUAAGUUGGAACAGGUACAUCCGGUUUUAUUUAGUGUCAGUUAGUCAAACGUUUGUCUUAGUAUAUAGUAUAUAUUUUACCUUUCUAUGCAUAUAAAACACUGUUUCAGCGCCGGACUUGGAAAGUUCCCAAGUUCGAUCCAGUGACAGACCAUUUCCGAGCGUGCUCUCCUAAUGGGCCUGGUUGAUAUGGGGGAUCAAAAACCCCAAACCCAAUAUAUAAACCACUAUUUUGCUUAGUAAUAAUUGCAGCUUUCAUCGGGGCAGAGCCUUUCUCACUUUAUCCUUUAAAAUUGUUCCGAUCGUUGACCGACUGUAGCCUAACGCUUUUCCAAUGACCGAUGGCGUUUCACUUCUUUCCGAUUGCUUUAUUAUUUCCACUUUAUUUUUAAUCACGAACGUGAUUAUUUUCAUUAACAGAAACACUGUGCAUUCAGAGCUUGACCGCCAGGUCCUAAUGUCCACUGCACUGAGACAGGUUAAAUAAGGUCUGGGGUUCCGCUGGGUCCUAAGGUCCACUGCAUUGAGACAGUUUGAAUAAGGGACUUGAGCAUCCGCGUUUUUUGGUAUCUGCGAGGGAUCCCGGAACCAAUCGCUCGCGGAUAAGGAGGGCCAACUGUACUUGCAUGUUAUUCCUUCUUUAGGUAUUCAGCUCAGUUAAUAUCCAGGCAUCACUGAUUUGGCUACAAUUCCAUGAGCUUGGGUUUUUGCUAAUUUUGUCUUUAAGAUGAGCUCAAUUGACUGGAAGUCCAUACAAGUAAAUGUUUCUCUAUGUACUAUUUACAGUUCUCUUUUUUAAAUUUUAGAAUAAAAGCUUCUUUGGUUC